GAUGAAGAACGCAGCGAAAUGCGAUACGUAAUGUGAAUUGCAGAAUUCAGUGAAUCAUCGAGUCUUUGAACGCACAUUGCGCCCCCUGGUAUUCCGGGGGGCAUGCCUGUCCGAGCGUCAUUGCUGCCCUCAAGCACGGCUUGUGUGUUGGGCCUCCGUCCUCCUCCCGGGGGACGGGCCCGAAAGGCAGCGGCGGCACCGCGUCCGGUCCUCGAGCGUAUGGGGCUUCGUCACCCGCUCUUGUAGGCCCGGCCGGCGCUUGCCGACACAUCAAUCUUUUUUCCAGGUUGACCUCGGAUCAGGCAGGGAUACCCGCUGAACUUAAGCAUAUCAAUAAGCGGAGGA
rnacentral:misc_RNA from 1 species